GGUGCACCAGGCGCGAAAACUUUGCAAUGCGGGAAACCGUGACAAGGGAACUCUGAGUGCCCGUUAAAUCGGGCUGUCCAUCGGUUUAAAUAACCGGUGAAGAAAGGGCCGGGCAAGACCGGUGCCAGCCGCCGCGGUAAUACCGGCGGCUCGAGUGGUGGCCACUAUUACUGGGCUUAAAGCGUUCGUAGCUGGUUUGUUAAGUCUCUGGGGAAAUCUUCCGGCUUAACCGGAAGGCGUCUCAGGGAUACUGGCAGACUAGGGACCGGGAGAGGUGAGAGGUACUCCAGGGGUAGGAGUGAAAUCCUGUAAUCCUUGGGGGACCACCUGUGGCGAAGGCGUCUCACCAGAACGGCUCCGACAGUGAGGGACGAAAGCUGGGGGAGCAAACCGGAUUAGAUACCCGGGUAGUCCCAGCUGUAAACGAUGCGCGUUAGGUGUAUCGGUGACCACGAGUCACCGAGGUGCCGAAGAGAAAUCGUGAAACGUGCCGCCUGGGAAGUACGGUCGCAAGGCUGAAACUUAAAGGAAUUGGCG
rnacentral:rRNA from 1 species